rnacentral:rRNA from 1 species
UACGGGGGGAGCAAGCGUUGUUCGGAUUUAUUGGGCGUAAAGAGCGUGUAGGCGGCCAGGUAGGUCUGCUGUGAAAACUCGAGGCUCAACCUCGAGACGUCGGCGGAAACCAUCUGGCUAGAGUCCGGAAGAGGAGAGUGGAAUUCCUGGUGUAGCGGUGAAAUGCGCAGAUAUCAGGAGGAACACCGGUGGCGAAGGCGGGUCUCUAGUACGGUACUGACGCUGAGACGCGAAAGCGUGGGGAGCGAACAGG